UGGGCCGCUAUGCUAACUCUUUUCUCUCAUCUUCUGGCUAGAUGUAGAGGAACCAGCAGAGGAGGCCCUGGGAGAUGACAAGCUACAGGUGGAAGAACUUAGGUCCUUUAUGGUGCGGAUGACUGCCUACUGACCACUUUGGGUGACAUCUAUUAGUGGUGGCCUGGAUUUAGAGACUGGAAUUUGGGUGACUGUAGUCUUCUAAUGAGGUGACCAGCUUCUGACUGGAAGGACCGCCAGGAGGAGGACGAGCCAGUACAAAGACAAGCACGGAGCACAGAGACCUGGGACCAAAGGCCUGGGAUAAACCGGGGGCCACGUGCCAGAGGCUUCGUCCCCAGCGUGGCAAUGUGAAG